AAACUUUGAACGCUAUUACUGAUUUACGAGGUAUAACUCUCUCAUUGGCUUACACGUGAGGCGUAUUUCAAUAACUGGUUAACUGAAAACAUACAAAUGCAAACUAAUCAAUAGAUGAUUGUUUUUAUUUUCAUGCCAUUGUUGACAUCUAUCAAUUGAAAAAAGAUUGUUUCUGUGCUGUGUUAGAGUUGUUGAAUUUAAUUAUUAUGAUAUUACUAAGGAUCAACUCGUUGGAUCGUUGGGCUUGAACACUGCACGGUUUACGUGUAUAGCUUUGAGUGUUUCGAUGAGUAAAGUUUCGUGUUUAUUAAAAUGUGUUUUAAAUGUGGAUUGAUAAUUUUGACCAUUGUGUCAAAUGCAGAUCAUUGCGGCGCCCAGGCUCCAAUCUUGACAUCGAACGCAACAUCCGUACAAGUAAACGAAUCCUUACAAUUAACCUGCACACAUCCGACUGCAACAGUCGUAAGAUAGUGGCUGCAACCAGCAGGGGAUAGUUCCUCAUCUACUAUUCUUGCAAUGAACAACGUGUGUGAGUUUGCACGAACGACCAUACCAGAUGUAUUUUCGACCUGUGUGUGCAACGGAAUGGCAUUUACGUGUAAAUUGAGACCUUUGGACACAAUCAAUAAUGGCGACAAGUGGUAGUGUUCGGUUUCAUCAACAAGCAAGCAACAUUCAGUAAUGAAAUAACACUAAUAAUAACAGUUCCCGUAGUAUAUGCAACCCUGACCCCUGACGUACCAACAAUAUCCGUCUUACCCAAUAUGGCAGUCAGCUACAUUCGCUGUAAAUCAUCAGUAGGACGACCUGCACCCAGCAUCACGUGGUACCUGGACAACAGAACUCCUUCUGACUACAGUGAUGAUGUGGAUAUAACUGGGAAUAGCAUUAGUUCAACAGUGUCGGAUGUGACGGCAAGCAGUAUCACAUUGACGCCUACAUCUAACGAUCAUGAUGCAUGGAUAUACUGUAAUGUCUCAAAAGGAUACGGAAAGAUUAUGUCCAAUAGGUCUCUGACCAUCAAUGUUUUUAAAUCUCAGUACAGAAACCAAUAUGAGACACUCGCGCAUACUUCGUUUCAUGAAUAUUCGGUUUUAUCACCCGGCAACACACAAGAGUACAGUGUUAUGAACCAAGUAUCUCAAGUUUCUGAAAAUGAUCGUGUGAUCGUCAAUACGGAAAACGCCUAUGUUAAUUUGUAAUUAUCAGAAACAUAAAUAUCGUUCUACUUUGUUAUUGGAUUAGCUACAAUAAUUAUAAUUGUAGUGCAAAUUAAUCUGUUCACACAUUGAAAUAUGUUGGAUUAGAAUGUUUAGUUUUAGUUAGUUUUAAAUAUGUAUAUAAGUGUCUUGAAUUUAUACAAUUAAUAAUUUAUUUUACAUGUUUAAUUAUAUUUGCUAUUUAUACGGGAAUAUAUAGAGAUACAAUUUAUUGACCAUAUGCAUACUUUAUUAUUCGAUAAGAAUGCAUCUUUUUCAUUCAAAUACACAACGAACGUUAUAAUCCAAUUGAUUUUUUUCACUCUUUAUAUCACAGAGAGGGAUGCAAUUCAUACUUGUAUACACUAGUGUUAUGCGUACCUUUAUGAUAUUAUUUUCGUCAAACUAUAUGUAUUA